AUUGAACGCUGGCGGCAGGCCUAACACAUGCAAGUCGAGCGGAGCGGCGGACGGGUGAGUAAUGCAUCGGAAUCUGCCUGGUAGUGGGGGAUAACGUCCGGAAACGGGCGCUAAUACCGCAUACUAUCAGAUGAGCCUAGGUCGGAUUAGCUAGUUGGUGGGGUAAAGGCCUACCAGGGCGACGAUCGGUAACUGGUCUGAGAGGAUGAUCAGGCACACUGGAACUGAGACACGGGCCAGACGCCUACGGGAGGCAGCAGUGGGGAAUGUGGGACAAUGGGCGAAAUCCUGAUCCAGCCAUGCCGCGUGUGUGAAGAAGGUCUUCGGAUUGUAAAGCACUUUAAGUUGGGAGGCGUUACCAGCAGAAUAAGCACCGGCUAACUUCGUGCCAGCAGCCGCGGUAAUAC
rnacentral:rRNA from 1 species